AGCUUUGCGCAGUGGCAGUAUCGUAGCCAAUGAGGUUUAUCCGAGGUGCGAUUAUUGCUAAUUGAAACAAAUCAAGUAGUAGAAGUAUAUUUUACAGUAGGAAAAUAAUAUUAUUCAUUAAAAGCUAAUACUAGA